rnacentral:rRNA from 1 species
AACGAACGCUGGCGGCAUGCCUAACACAUGCAAGUCGAACGAGACCUUCGGGUCUAGUGGCGCACGGGUGCGUAACGCGUGGGAACCUGCCCUUAGGUUCGGAAUAACUCCCCGAAAGGGGUGCUAAUACCGGAUAAUGUCUUCGGACCAAAGAUUUAUCGCCUUUGGAUGGGCCCGCGUUGGAUUAGCUAGUUGGUAGGGUAAAAGCCUACCAAGGCGACGAUCCAUAGCUGGUCUGAGAGGAUGAUCAGCCACACUGGGACUGAGACACGGCCCAGACUCCUACGGGAGGCAGCAGUGGGGAAUAUUGGACAAUGGGCGAAUGCCUGAUCCAGCAAUGCCGCGUGAGUGAUGAAGGCCUUAGGGUUGUAAAGCUCUUUUACCCGGGAUGAUAAUGACAGUACCGGGAGAAUAAGCUCCGGCUAACUCCGUG